CCUACGGGAGGCAGCAGUGGGGAAUAUUGCACAAUGGGGGAAACCCUGAUGCAGCGACGCCGCGUGAAGGAAGAAGUAUUUCGGUAUGUAAACUUCUAUCAGCAGGGAAGAAAAUGACGGUACCUGACUAAGAAGCCCCGGCUAACUACGUGCCAGCAGCCGCGGUAAUACGUAGGGGGCAAGCGUUAUCCGGAUUUACUGGGCGUAAAGGGAGCGUAGGCGGUUUAGCAAGUCAGAAGUGAAAGCCCGGGGCUCAACGCCGGGACUGCAUUUGAAACUGUUGAACUAGAGUGCGGGAGAGGUAAGUGGAAGUCGUGGUGUAGCGGUGAAAUGCGUAGAUAUUAGGAGGAACACCAGUGGCGAAGGCGGCUUACCGGCGCCCAACUGACGCUGAAGCACGAAAGCGUGGGUAGCGAACAGGAUUAGAUACCCUGGUAGUC
rnacentral:rRNA from 1 species